UUACAAGUAUGGCUGUUGAAAAUGGGUCCAGUAUGGAGAACUUUUCUGUAUUGACUAGUCUUAGACUUACUGUCAUUUAGACUUGGACUUUUCUCAGUCUGAGAUAAAUAUGGUCUUGAACUUGACUGAGAGUUUGUAUGGAUGGAUCGUUGGAUGGAUGGAUGGGCUCUGGAAUGGAUUUUGACUCUUCCUCACUUUUAUUUGGACUCGAACUUGACUUGGCCUGACAUGGUCUUAACUAAAUCCCGGACUUGGCAAUGGCGGUCUGAUUAAAGGGCUGCCCAGACGGAGACCCAGGACCUGCUGGAGAGUCUAAAUUUCACAGUUGGUUUGGAAAUGUUUAGGGAUGCCCCACGAGGAACUAGAAUCUGUAGCUGUUCUAGAAAAGUCUGGUCUGACCUUCUCAACCUGUUCCCCUGCAACCCCUACCAGGAAAAAUGAUAAGCCAUCUUUCCUGGAGCAUACCAGGAGAGAUGGUGGAAACGUCUGAAGAGAUGGUGGAAACAUCUGGAGAGAUGGUGGAAACGUCUGGAGAGAUGGUGUAAACGUCUGGAGAGAUUGUGGAAACAUCUGAAGAGAUGGUGGAAACGUCUGGAGAGAUGGUGUAAACGUCUGGAGAGAUGGUGGAAACGUCUGGAGAGAUGGUGGGAACAUCUGGAGAGAUGGUGGAAACAUCUGAAGAGAUGGUGGAAACAUCUGGAGAGAUGGUGGAAACAUCUGAAGAGAUGGUGGAAACAUCUGGAGCGAUGUGGAAACAUCUGGAACGAUGUGGAAACAUCUGGAGCGAUGGUGGAAACAUCUGGCCAUGCUGAAUACACAAGUUUUUCUACAGUCUCUCUGUUUCACCAUGGAUGAAAAAAGAUUUUCUGUAAAAUAAUGUGUUUGGAACCAUUUGUACUGAAACUGGUAUUAAAUGUAUCGUAUCAAUUGUAUUAAAUGUAUUAUAUCAAAUGUAACUAUAUUGGUGUUGACCGGUUAUACGGAUGAAGCCUAAGGCUGGGGUUAUACCUGACACAUACAACAUCGGAGCAGAAAUAACCCCUUUUGUCAGGCUUCCCUACACUUAACUCAGUGUAAAGUCUCCUUCACAAUCAUCUAUGUACAUAUCUUUCAGAUAAAUAAAUAAAAUAAUGAAAACACAUUAUUGACCGUCCUAGACAACUAUAACUAAGCUUUACCUUGAAAUAUAAUUUUUUUUUAAAAACUUCAAAAAUCAGAUUAUAUUUGCAAUAAUGUGUCAGUCCAUUUAACGAAUCAUCCAUUUCCAUUCGCCAUCCAUUCAGGGUUAUGAAAAAUGUACCUGAGUCCCUAUGAAAUAUUUGGAAUAUUCCACAAGUCACAUGUUCAACAAGAAAUUGUGUCACCCGAACUGAAAUGAAGAUCACGGGAAGAAGAACUGUUCCCUCAUUCUUUUUGUUUUCAUUUUCAGUGAUAUUGUGAUAUUUUUUUUGGGGGGGGC
ensembl:lncRNA